CUAACUGUUGCUUCUUGACCUGCAUACAGAUUUCUCAGGAGGCAGAAAAAGGAGAAGAAAAGAAACAAGAUCCCCAGGUGAUCACAUGCACCUUGCUGUUUGAGAACUGUUGACCCAAAACCAACAGCUUCAGAUGCCAACUGGAGGAGACUUGAACAUCACAGCAAACUUGUGGUUGCUGACACGAUUUUCUAAAAUGGUUGACUGGGCUUCACUGAGCAGUUCUCACUUGGGGUCUCUCAUGAAGUUGCAGUCAGAGGUCAG